rnacentral:hammerhead_ribozyme from 1 species
AUCUAACUGACGAGUCUCAAGUAGAACGAAACUCACGUCCGAGAU